GUAGGGGUUAGAGUUAACACUAGGUACACACCCUGUAUGGUAGGGGUUAGAGUUAACACUAGGUACACACCCUGUAUGGUAGGGGUUAGGGUUAACACUAGGUACACACCCUGUAUGGUAGGGGUUAGAGUUAACACUAG